rnacentral:rRNA from 1 species
UACAGAGGUCUCAAGCGUUGUUCGGAUUCAUUGGGCGUAAAGGGGUGUGUAGGUGGCGCCGUAAGUCGGGGUGUGAAAUUUCGGAGCUUAACUCCGAAACUGCAUUCGAUACUGCGGUGCUUGAGGACUGGAGAGGAGACUGGAAUUCAUGGUGUAGCAGUGAAAUGCGUAGAGAUCAUGAGGAAGACCAGUGGCGAAGGCGGGUCUCUGGACAGUUCCUGACACUGAGACACGAAGGCCAGGGGAGCAAACGGG